rnacentral:tRNA from 2 species
GGGCGGCUAGCUCAGUUGGUUAGAGCGUGCGAUUCACAUUCGCAAGGUCAAAGGUUCGAUCCCUUUGCCGCCCA